rnacentral:rRNA from 1 species
UAGGGAAUAUUGCACAAUGGGCGAAAGCCUGAUGCAGCAACGCCGCGUGCACGAUGAAGGCCUUCGGGUUGUAAAGUGCUUUUCUGGAGGACGAGGAAGGACGGUACUCCAGGAAUAAGGAUCGGCUAACUACGUGCCAGCAGCCGCGGUAAAACGUAGGAUCCGAGCGUUAUCCGAAUUCACUGGGCGUAAAGCGCGUGCAGGCGGCCUGGUAAGUUGGAUGUGAAAUCUCCUGGCUCAACCGGGAGGGGACGUUCAAGACUGCCCGGCUCGAGGACGGUAGAGGGAGGUAGAAUUCCCGGUGUAGUGGUGAAAUGCGUAGAUAUCGGGAGGAAUACCAGUGGCGAAGGCGGCCUCCUGGACCGUACCUGACGCUCAGACGCGAAAGCUAGGGGAGCAAACGG